AUAAAUGUGCAGCCUUUUCCUCAAAUAUUUUGAACAUCUGAAAAAAGUCCUUCAGUUGAGAUUUUGAAAAGAAUGCCUCGAAGACGGACGCCAUUGAAGUUCAGCAUGGAAUAGUAAAAGGGUUGGCAAAAUGCUCAUCAAGGUCCAGUACCGUGGACUAAAAAAGUACCUCAAACUGCAGCCUGGUUUUUCUUAUGAAAGUUUCAUUGAAGAAGUGAUAUGGAGAGGUCCUCUUCAAACAAGGGACAUCAA